GGGAAGGUGGCUCAGUGGUAGAGCGCUUGCCUUGCAUGCCUGAAGCCCUGGGUUCGAUUCCUCAGCUAUCACA
rfam:Dipodomys ordii contig_27041, whole genome shotgun sequence.